AUGGAGUUGAGACUGAGUUGGGUUUUCCUUCUUGCUCUUUGCAAAGGUGUCCAGUGUGAGGUGCAGCUGGUGGAGUCUGGGGGAGGCUUAGUGCAGCCUGGACAGUCUGUGAAACUCUCCUGUGAAACCUCUGGACUCCCAUUCAGUGACUACAGGAUGAACUGGAUCCGCCAGGCUCCAGGAAAGGGGCUGGAGUGGGUUGCUGAACUAGGAAACAAAGCUAAUAAUUAUGCAACAAACUAUGCGCAGUCUGUGAAAGGCAGAUUCGCCAUCUCAAGAGAUGAUCCCAAAAGCAGCCUCUACCUGCAAAUGAACAGCUUAACACCUGAAGACUCAGGCAUUUAUUUCUGUACUACAGACACAGUGAGGGACCUUCAUUGA